rnacentral:rRNA from 1 species
UGGGGAAUAUUGCACAAUGGGCGCAAGCCUGAUGCAGCCAUGCCGCGUGUGUGAAGAAGGCCUUCGGGUUGUAAAGCACUUUCAGCGGGGAAGAAGGCGAUAAGGUUAAUAACCGCAUCGAUUGACGUUACCCGCAGAAGAAGCACCGGCUAACUCCGUGCCAGCAGCCGCGGUAAUACGUAGGGUGCAAGCGUUAAUCGGAAUGACUGGGCGUAAAACGCACGCAGGCGGUAUGUCAAGUCGGAUGUGAAAUCCACCGGCUCAACCUGGGAACUGCAUUCGAAACUGGCAGGCUAGAGUCUUGUAGAGGGGGGUAGAAUUCCAGGUGUAGCGGUGAAAUGCGUAGAGAUCAGGAGGAAUACCGGUGGCGAAGGCGGCCUCCUAGACAAAGACUGACGCUGAGGUGCGAAAGCGAGGGGAGCAAACAGG